rnacentral:rRNA from 1 species
AACGAACGCUGGCGGCAUGCCUAACACAUGCAAGUCGAACGAGACCUUCGGGUCUAGUGGCGCACGGGUGCGUAACGCGUGGGAACCUGCCCUUAGGUUCGGAAUAACUCCCCGAAAGGGGUGCUAAUACCGGAUAAUGUCUUCGGACCAAAGAUUUAUCGCCUUUGGAUGGGCCCGCGUUGGAUUAGCUAGUUGGUAGGGUAAAAGCCUACCAAGGCGACGAUCCAUAGCUGGUCUGAGAGGAUGAUCAGCCACACUGGGACUGAGACACGGCCCAGACUCCUACGGAAGGCAGCAGUGGGGAAUAUUGGACAAUGGGCGAAAGCCUGAUCCAGCAAUGCCGCGUGAGUGAUGAAGGCCUUAGGGUUGUAAAGCUCUUUUAACCGGGAUGAUAAUGACAGUACCGGGAGAAUAAGCUCCGGCUAACUCCGUG